rnacentral:rRNA from 1 species
GACAUAAUGCAACUAGCACAAUCUAAUAAUCACCACCACCACAUAUACGACCGUACCGCAAACCGACACUGGUGCGCGAGAUGAGUAUUCUAAGGCGCUUGAGAGAACUCAGGAGAAGGAACUCGGCAAAUUGACACCGUAACUUCGGAAGAAGGUGUGCCCUAUUAGUGUGUAGUGAACAACGAAGCAUGAAUGGGUUGCAAAAAAUCGGUGGCUGCGACUGUUUAUUAAAAACACAGCACUCUGCAAACACGAAAGUGGACGUAUAGGGUGUGACGCCUGCCCGGUGCUGGAAGAUUAAAUGAUGGGGUGCAAGCUCUUGAUUGAAGUCCCAGUAAACGGCGGCCGUAACAAUAACGGUCCUAAGGUAGCGAAAUUCCUUGUCGGGUAAGUUCCGACCUGCACGAAUGGCGUAACGAUGGCCACACUGUCUCUCCUGAGACUCAGCGAAGUUGAAAUGUUUGUGAUGAUGCAAUCUCCCCGCGGAAAGACGGAAAGACCCCAUGAACCUUUACUGUAGCUUUGUAUUGGACUUUGAACAGAUCUGUGUAGGAUAGGUGGGAGGCUUUGAAGCAGGGUCGCUAGAUCUUGUGGAGCCAACGUUGAAAUACCACCCUGGUGUGUUUGAGGUUCUAACCUAGGUCCAUUAUCUGGAUCGGGGACAGUGCAUGGUAGGCAGUUUGACUGGGGCGGUCUCCUCCCAAAGCGUAACGGAGGAGUUCGAAGGUACGCUAGUUACGGUCGGACAUCGUGACGAUAGUGCAAUGGCAUAAGCGUGCUUAACUGCGAGACUGACAAGUCGAGCAGAUGCGAAAGCAGGACAUAGUGAUCCGGUGGUUCUGUAUGGAAGGGCCAUCGCUCAACGGAUAAAAGGUACUCUGGGGAUAACAGGCUGAUACCGCCCAAGAGUUCAUAUCGACGGCGGUGUUUGGCACCUCGAUGUCGGCUCAUCUCAUCCUGGGGCUGUAGCCGGUCCCAAGGGUAUGGCUGUUCGCCAUUUAAAGAGGUACGUGAGCUGGGUUUAAAACGUCGUGAGACAGUUUGGUCCCUAUCUUCCGUGGGCGCUGCAGAUUUGAGGAAGCCUGCUCCUAGUACGAGAGGACCGGAGUGGACACACCUCUGGUGUAUCGGUUGUCACGCCAGUGGCAUUGCCGAGUAGCUAAGUGUGGAAGAGAUAACCGCUGAAAGCAUCUAAGCGGGAAACUCGUUUCAAGAUGAGAUCUGCCGGGGCCUUGAGCCCCCUAAAGAGUCGUUCAAGACCAGGACGUUGAUAGGUCAGGUGUGGAAGUGAAAAAAAGAAGAAAAAAAAAG